rnacentral:rRNA from 1 species
GAUGAACGCUAGCUACAGGCUUAACACAUGCAAGUCGAGGGACCGGCGCACGGGUGAGUAACACGUAUCCAACCUUCCCUUUACUCGGGGAUAGCUUUUCGAAAGAACGAUUAAUACCCGACAUAAAGGAUGGGGAUGCGUUCCAUUAGGUUGUUGGUGAGGUAACGGCCCACCAAGCCUUCGAUGGAUAGGGGUGCUGAGAGGAAGGUCCCCCACAUUUGAAAUGGGACACGGUCCAAACUCCCACGGGAGGCAGGAGUGAGGAAUAUUGGUCAAUGGGCGGUAGCCUGAACCAGCCAAGUAGCGUGAAGGAUGAAGGCUUAUGGGUUGUAAAGUACUUUCAGCGGGGAGGCGUUACCCGCAGAAGAAGCACCGGCUAACUCCGUGCCAGCAGCCGCGGUAAUAC